AUUGAACGCUGGCGGCAUGCCUUACACAUGCAAGUCGAACGGUAACAGGUCUUCGGAUGCUGACGAGUGGCGAACGGGUGAGUAAUACAUCGGAACGUGCCCGAUCGUGGGGGAUAACGGAGCGAAAGCUUUGCUAAUACCGCAUACGAUCUACGGAUGAAAGCAGGGGACCGCAAGGCCUUGCGCGGACGGAGCGGCCGAUGGCAGAUUAGGUAGUUGGUGGGAUAAAAGCUUACCAAGCCGACGAUCUGUAGCUGGUCUGAGAGGACGACCAGCCACACUGGGACUGAGACACGGCCCAGACUCCUACGGGAGGCAGCAGUGGGGAAUUUUGGACAAUGGGCGCAAGCCUGAUCCAGCCAUGCCGCGUGCAGGAUGAAGGCCUUCGGGUUGUAAACUGCUUUUGUACGGACGAAAAGCUCUCUCUAAUACAGGGGUGAAUGAGGACCGUAAGAAUAAGCACGCUAACUUCGUGCCAGCAGCCGCGGUAA
rnacentral:rRNA from 1 species